UCAUCCUCAUCCUCAUCCUUCCCCCAGGUGCGAAUCUGAACCCAGGACCACCACCACCCCCUGAGGCCUCGAGGCCCGGACCCCCUCCCCCAUGACGCCCCUGAUCCUCCUCCUCCUCUUGUUAGCCUCCGCACCUGGGGCCUCCGGCCGGUCCGACAGGAGCCCCCCCCGGACGGCGGGCCCGUCGCCAGGCCUGGCCGUCGGCCCUGGGCCCCAGCCCGCCCCUGCCUUCCCGCCGCUGCCACCUGGGCACCUGCCAGAUCCAGAACCUGGCCAGCCUCCUCUACCGCCUCGGGGGCAACGCCGCCAAGGAGCCCUCCAGGAAGAACAGCAAGGGCACCUCGGACCCGCUGGGCUACGGCCGCAGGCGGCGGCGCAGGAGGAGGAGGAGGAGGAGGGGAGCCCCUGAACUCCCACCCGAUGCCCGCCCAGGGGCCCUCUCCGCCCCACGGGACCCUGGAGGGAUGGGGGGCAACCCUGGCCCUUCUCCCCUCCAGAGGAGGGGACCCAGGCCGCCCCGGAUGCCCAACCUGGAGACCCUCCUCGCCCCCCACGUGCCCCUGUGGCCCGGGCACCUCCCCUUCCCGGACUGACCCUGCUGGGGUGGCCUUGGGAGGGUGGGGGGCGACUAGGCCCCACUCCCGGCUGGCAUUUGGGGUCAUUUCCCCAGGCGGGCCUGUCCUACCCCCUAAUAAACGCUGACCC